GUGCAGCCUGCACUGUAGCCUCCAGACCACCUGGGAGUUGGAGCGCAGACCAAAGCCCGAGCUCUCAGUGGCUGCGGGGGACGGGGGUGGG
rnacentral:miRNA from 1 species